rnacentral:rRNA from 1 species
GAUGAACGCUAGCGGCAGGCCUAACACAUGCAAGUCGAGGGUAACGGGGUGCUUGCACCGCCGACGACCGGCGCACGGGUGCGUAACGCGUAUAGAAUCUACCUUGUACUGAGGGAUAGCCUUUGGAAACGAAGAUUAAGCCCUCAUAGUAUGAUGACUUGGCAUCAAGAUAUCAUUAAGGGUUACGGUACAAGAUGACUAUGCGUUCUAUUAGCUAGAUGGUAAGGUAACGGCUUACCAUGGCAACGAUAGAUAGGGGCCCUGAGAGGGGGAUCCCCCACACUGGUACUGAGACACGGACCAG